rnacentral:rRNA from 1 species
CUAGGGAUAACCCACUUGGAAACAGGUGCUAAUACCGGAUAAGAAAGCAGAUCGCAAGUGAUCAGCGUUUUUAAAAGGCGGCGUAAGCUGUCGCUAUGGAUGGGCCCCGCGGUGCAUUAGCUAGUUGGUAAGGUAAAGGCUUACCAAGGCGAUGAUGCAUAGCCGAGUUGAGAGACUGAUCGGCCACAUUGGGACUGAGACACGGCCCAAACUCCUACGGGAGGCAGCAGUAGGGAAUCUUCCACAAUGGACGCAAGUCUGAUGGAGCAACGCCGCGUGAGUGAAGAAGGUUUUUCGGAUCGUAAAGCUCUGUUGUUGGUGAAGAAGGAUAGAGGUAGUAACUGGCCUUUUAUUUUGACGGUAAUCAACCAGAAAGUCACGGCUAACUACGUGCC